AGAAUAUUCCGCAAUGGACGAAAGUCUGACGGAGCGACGCCGCGUGGAUGAUGAAGGCCGGAAGGUUGUAAAAUCCUUUUAUGACUGAGGAAUAAGGUGGAUGAGAGAAACGUCCGCUGGUGACUGUAGGUCAUGAAUAAGCAACGGCUAAUUACGUGCCAGCAGCCGCGGUAACACGUAAGUUGCGAGCGUUGUUCGGAAUUAUUGGGCGUAAAGGGCAUGUAGGCGGUUCUGCAAGUCUGGUGUGAAAUGCCGGGGCUCAACCCCGGAACUGCGUUGGAAACUGCGGAACUGGAGUCGCUGAGGGGCAGCCAGAAUUCCAGGUGUAGGGGUGAAAUCUGUAGAUAUCUGGAAGAAUACCAAUGGCGAAGGUAGGCUGCGAGCAGAUGACUGACGCUGAGGUGCGAAGGUGCGGGGAGCAAACA
rnacentral:rRNA from 1 species